CCCAGUGUUCACUCUUCAACCGGGUUUUGACCUCGGAGUUGCUUCGGCUACGAGAGCUUUGGCUCCAAUGUUCCUAAGUGUAGAAAGAUCAGGCUAUAGACUACUGUUACUCCACCUUUUAUUUUAGAAACUGGUUUUCCAGGCUGUGCAUUGCUCUAGGAGUCCCCGUCUUCUAAACAGCUUCUGAUUCCAUUUUGAGGGAGAAGGAUGACUGUAGACCCUGGAUUGUUGGGGGAUACUUGUACUCUGUGUGAAGAUGUAUUGCUGUGAUUGGUGUAAUAAAGAGCUGAACGGCCAAUAGCUCGGCAGGAGAGGAUAGGUGGGAUUCUGGUGGAGAGAGUGGGUAAGUCAGAGGGGUGCUUGGAGAGACAUCAAGGGACACAGAACAAGUUGAACAUACGAGACAGAAAAAAGAAGUUCUUUUCCAUUCUGGCUUCCUGGAUGGAUCUGACCACGGAGACAGCCCUGCUUGGACAUCGCUUUGAAUAUUCCCGAGGAGACCUUUGUUCCUGCAACUUACUCAUUGAAAGUCUAAUGAGAAUAAAUUGAUUUCACUGUU